CCUACGGGAGGCAGCAGUAGGGAAUAUUGCUCAAUGGGGGAAACCCUGAAGCACCAACGCCGCGUGGAGGUUGAAGGUUUUCGGAUUGUAAACUCCUUUUGUAAGAAAAGAUAUUGACGGUAUCUAAGGAAUAAGCACCGGCUAACUCCGUGCCAGAAGCCGCGGUAAUACGGAGGGUGAAAGCGUUACUCGGAAUCACUGGGCGUAAAGGGCGCGUGGGCGGGUUAGCAAGUCAGAUGUGAAAUCCUAUGGCUUAACCAUAGAACUGCAUUUGAAACUGUUAUUCUAGAGUAUGGGGGAGGUAGGUGGAAUUCUUGGUGUAGGGGUAAAAUCCGUAGAGAUCAAGAGGAAUACUCAUUGCGAAGGCGACCUGCUAGAACAUAACUGACGCUGAUGCGCGAAAGCGUGGGGAGCAAACAGGAUUAGAUACCCCGGUAGUC
rnacentral:rRNA from 1 species